rnacentral:rRNA from 1 species
UACGUAGGUGGCAAGCGUUGUCCGGAAUUAUUGGGCGUAAAGGGCGCGUAGGUGGCGUCGCAAGUCAACGGUGAAAGCUCGACGCUCAACGUCGAGUCGGCCGUCGAGACUGCGAGGCUUGAGCACUGUAGAGGCAGAUGGAAUUCCGGGUGUAGCGGUGGAAUGCGUAGAGAUCCGGAAGAACACCGGUGGCGAAGGCGGUCUGCUGGGCAGUUGCUGACACUGAGGCGCGACAGCGUGGGGAGCAAACAGG